ensembl:snRNA U4 U4 spliceosomal RNA
AGCUUUGCGUAGUGUCAGUAUCUUAGCGAAUGAGGUUUAUCCGAGGCACAGUUACUGCUGAUUGAAAAUUUCUCUGAACCUGAAUGAUUCUUUCUAUUUCCUUUGCAUAAUAUUGUAACACUGAUCUGUG